ensembl:lncRNA
UGAUAAUAUAUAUCAAUAAAAAAAGUUUGAUAUUUAAAAACUCCCACACAGUAAUGAACAGAGCAAAAUUUAUGACCUAUUCUACCCCAAGACACGCCUACUAGGGACACCUGAUGGGUAAGAAGAGCAUAGACGAGACGCUGGGCUCGGACGACCAUGAUGUCGAAGCUCAGGCUUAUUUAAUCACAGCCGAAGCCGACACACACACACAGCCGUCCAACCUGCUGAAGGCUCUCAUCAAGGCUCUUUCUGGACCAAAGAAAGCUACAGAAGACGAGAGGGAAAGACGAGAGCUUUCAAUGGAACUGAGGAGGCCGUGGGAAGAACAGUUGGCAAGAGAAAGGGAGGUCAACCAGGCAGCAAGGUUAUUGUUACUGGCGUUAAACAAGAGAGACGCAGACGCCAGCUGAAGACCAGUGUCAGGCCUGAUCUAUAAUCAGCGAUUCUGCAGUUGGAAGCAGCUGAGAAAUGGCCGCGCUGCGUCACAGUCGACUCUGUUAGAAAAUAAACACCUAAAUCUCACUGUCUGUUCAUUCUGCACCACAUCAGCUCAGAAAUAACUUCUAUUUUGUUUUUUUGUAAGUUAAUCUAAUUAUAUGCCAUUGUUUUAUAGGCCUACGUAUAUAAUUAUGUUCUUCUGAACUGUUUGUGUAACUGAUGUUUUGUCAAAUGUCUUCAAUAAAGUCCUGAAAUAAACCUUGUGGGAUUUAAAUACACCAAUUUGCGCAUAAAUCGAGCGGUAUUAUACUCAUUAUUAAACACUUAUUAAAGACUGAACACGUUUUAGAAUGUAGGAUCUCAGUAUUAGAGAUUUUUCUGAUUAUUUCAAAAACCCAAAACAGAUGCACGAGGGAUUAAAGGAGUCACAGUAAAUAUAUAC